rnacentral:rRNA from 1 species
GAUGAACGCUGGCGGCGUGCUUAACACACGCAAGUCGAACGAUGAAGCCCAGCUUGCUGGGUGGAUUAGUGGCGAACGGGUGAGUAACACGUGAGCAACCUGCCCCUGACUCUGGGAUAAGCGCUGGAAACGGCGUCUAAUACUGGAUACGAACAAGAAUCGCAUGGUUACUUGUUGGAAAGAUUUUUUGGUUGGGGAUGGGCUCGCGGCCUAUCAGCUUGUUGGUGAGGUAAUGGCUCACCAAGGCGUCGACGGGUAGCCGGCCUGAGAGGGUGACCGGCCACACUGGGACUGAGACACGGCCCAGACUCCUACGGGAGGCAGCAGUGGGGAAUAUUGCACAAUGGGCGGAAGCCUGAUGCAGCAACGCCGCGUGAGGGAUGACGGCCUUCGGGUUGUAAACCUCUUUUAGCAGGGAAGAAGCGAGAGUGACGGUACCUGCAGAAAAAGCGCCGGCUAACUACGUGCCAGCAGCCGCGGUAAUACGUAGGGCGCAAGCGUUAUCCGGAAUUAUUGGGCGUAAAGAGCUCGUAGGCGGUUUGUCGCGUCUGCUGUGAAAUCCCGAGGCUCAACCUCGGGCCUGCAGUGGGUACGGGCAGACUAGAGUGCGGUAGGGGAGAUUGGAAUUCCUGGUGUAGCGGUGGAAUGCGCAGAUAUCAGGAGGAACACCGAUGGCGAAGGCAGAUCUCUGGGCCGUAACUGACGCUGAGGAGCGAAAGGGUGGGGAGCAAACAGGCUUAGAUACCCUGGUAGUCCACCCCGUAAACGUUGGGAACUAGUUGUGGGGUCCAUUCCACGGAUUCCGUGACGCAGCUAACGCAUUAAGUUCCCCGCCUGGGGAGUACGGCCGCAAGGCUAAAACUCAAAGGAAUUGACGGGGACCCGCACAAGCGGCGGAGCAUGCGGAUUAAUUCGAUGCAACGCGAAGAACCUUACCAAGGCUUGACAUAUACGAGAACGGGCCAGAAAUGGUCAACUCUUUGGACACUCGUAAACAGGUGGUGCAUGGUUGUCGUCAGCUCGUGUCGUGAGAUGUUGGGUUAAGUCCCGCAACGAGCGCAACCCUCGUUCUAUGUUGCCAGCACGUAAUGGUGGGAACUCAUGGGAUACUGCCGGGGUCAACUCGGAGGAAGGUGGGGAUGACGUCAAAUCAUCAUGCCCCUUAUGUCUUGGGCUCCACGCAUGCUACAAUGGCCGGUACAAUGGGCAGCGAUACCGUGAGGUGGAGCGAAUCCCAAAAAGCCGGUCCCAGUUCGGAUUGAGGUCUGCAACUCGACCUCAUGAAGUCGGAGUCGCUAGUAAUCGCAGAUCAGCAACGCUGCGGUGAAUACGUUCCCGGGUCUUGUACACACCGCCCGUCAAGUCAUGAAAGUCGGUAACACCUGAAGCCGGUGGCCUAACCCUUGUGGAGGGAGCUGUCAAGGUGGGAUCGGUAAUUAGGACUAAGUCGUAACAAGGUAGCCGUACCGGAAGG